CAUCAAAUGACUGAAAGCAAGUAAUGAUCUCUUAAAUCAAUUUAUAGUAGUAGUAGCAUCUGCUUUUGAUGA
rnacentral:tRNA from 1 species